GGAACCUUGAAAGGUGUUCUAGUCUUUGGAUUAAGCAAAAUCAAAGACCAUGGUGGGAUGAGUGCAUUACAUCAUGUAUGUUGGUGAAGGGAAAGAGCAGUACUUUGGUGCAUCUGUGAUUAUAAUACUUCAAAGUGUCCAAUUCCUAGUCUGUUUUCAAACUUAAUUUGAUAAGGAGCUCCUUCCAUUUCCUGUGUCCAUGAUGAGAGAACCAAAGCUCAGUCAAUGUGUGAAUUUGAUUUCUGGAGACAGCCUACAUCCCAGUUAGAGCCCGGCAUGAAGAAUACUAAAAGCAAUAAUGCAGGACAAUAUUGGCCAACAGAAGAACAAUAAUUACAAUCAAAAGUUUGCUGAAGACUUUCUAUAUGCCAGGUCUCAAAGGAGAAGUGGCUUCCGAGACCACCAGGAAGAGAGAGCCUUACCUCUGCUGUUCAUACACACAUGGGAAGUUGAAAAUGGAGAAAUCUUCAGAUCAGAAAUCUUUCCUCAUCUCCAACUUGAGAUGAACCUANUUACCUUUCAGGUCUCAAAGGAGAAGUGGCUUCCGAGACCACCAGGAAGAGAGAACCUUACCUCUGCUGUUCAUACACACAUGGGAAGUUGGAAAUGGAGAAAAUAUCUGUUUUCUGAACAUAGAAAUCUUCAGAAAUCUUUCCUCAUCUCCAACUUGAGAUGA
rnacentral:lncRNA from 1 species